rnacentral:rRNA from 1 species
AGAAUCAACGCUGGCGGCGUGCCUAACACAUGCAAGUCGAACGAGAAAGUGGAGCAAUCCAUGAGUAAAGUGGCGCACGGGUGAGUAACACGUGACUAACCUACCCUUGAGUGGGGGAUAACCUAGGGAAACCUGGGCUAAUACCGCAUAAUACCUUCGGGUCAAAGGAGCAAUUCGCUUAAGGAGGGGGUCGCGGCCGAUUAGUUAGUUGGCGGGGUAAUGGCCCACCAAGACUGUGAUCGGUAUCCGGCCUGAGAGGGCGCACGGACACACUGGAACUGAAACACGGUCCAGACUCCUACGGGAGGCAGCAGUGGGGAAUUUUGCGCAAUGGGGAAACCCUGACGCAGCAACGCCGCGUGGAGGAUGAAGUCCCUUGGGACGUAAACUCCUUUCGAUCGGGACGAUUAUGACGGUACCGGAAGAAGAAGCCCCGGCUAACUUCGCGCCAGCAGCCGC